rnacentral:rRNA from 1 species
AUUGAACGCUGGCGGAAUGCUUUACACAUGCAAGUCGAACGGUAGAGGGGGCAACCCCUUGAGAGUGGCGAACGGGUGAGUAAUAUAUCGGAACGUGCCCAGUCGUGGGGAUAACGUAGCGAAAGUUACGCUAAUACCGCAUACGAUCUAAGGAUGAAAGCGGGGGAUCGCAAGACCUCGCGCGAUUGGAGCGGCCGAUAUCAGAUUAGGUAGUUGGGUGAGGUAAAGGCUCACCAAGCCAACGAUCUGUAGCUGGUCUGAGAGGACGACCAGCCACACUGGAACUGAGACACGGUCCAGACUCCUACGGGAGGCAGCAGUGGGGGAAUUUUGGACAAUGGACGCAAGUCUGAUCCAGCCAUUCCGCGUGCAGGAUGAAGGCCCUCGGGUUGUAACUGCUUUUGUACGGAACGAAACGGUGAGCUCUAAUACAGUUUGCUAAUGACGGUACCGUAAGAAUAAGCACC